GAACGCAUCUUGCGCUUGCUGGUAUUCCGGCAAGCAUGCCUGUUUGAGUGUCAUGAAAAUUAUCAACCAUGACUUGGGUUUAGGCCCUCGUUCUUGGCUUGGAUUUGGGUGCUUGCGGUCUUGUGCUGCUCACCUUAAAAGGAUUAGCUGGACAUGUCUUUUGACUUGGUUCUACUUGGCGUAAUAAGUAUUUCGCUGAGGACAUCCCUUCUGGGGUGGCCAAGACUCUGGCAAACGUCUGCUUUCUAACUCGACUGUCCUCGGACAUCACUUUUUAUGAUCUGGCCUCAAAUCAGGUAGGACUACCCGCUGAACUUAAG
rnacentral:misc_RNA from 1 species